rnacentral:lncRNA from 1 species
CUGUAGUAGUGUGAGUGGUCCUUUGACCUAUGGUACAUUGGCUAUUUACAGUGAGACUACUGAGUUUGACUACACAUUCUCUUGGUCCUUAGCCAUUCAGGUCUUUACUGUGUAUGUUGGCUAUAGUAGGUUCAAUUUCAUUGUUUAGAGUAGGAUGCACUUAGAUAGAAUCUAUCGAUCUUAGUAAAAAAGUAGUCCUAUGUAAUUCGCGAGACUAAGUUUAGAAAGUCUUUGAUCAAAGCAAGUAUAAAUAGUGAA